rnacentral:rRNA from 1 species
AAACCUGCCUCAUAGACUGGGACAACUAUUGGAAACGAUAGCUAAUACCGGAUAACAGCAUUAACUGCAUGGUUGAUGUUUGAAAGUUGGUUUUGCUAACACUAUGAGAUGGCUUUGCGGUGCAUUAGCUAGUUGGUGGGGUAAAGGCCUACCAAGGCGACGAUGCAUAGCCGACCUGAGAGGGUGAUCGGCCACACUGGGACUGAGACACAGCCCAG